AGGGAGCCCCCGCCCCGCGCCGUGACGACUGCGGACCCGCCGAGCCCCGCUCCCGCCGCGGCCCGGGGUGCGGGCGGGCGGCCCCUCAGCGGGAGCCGGUCAGGAUGCCGGGGAGAUGAGCAAUGGAUGAUUUUGGCUUCCUCUGAAUAACUCCUGAGAGGGCAUGUGUAGUUCCUCUGUGGGAGGACAUUGUCACCUGUGUCAACAGCUUUGAGGCUUUAGCUAAACUUGUGAGAGCAAACAUUGAAGUUGUUCUACCAUCCAUUUUCAGUUCCCUCGAGUGACAGCCAUGGUGUUUAGAAGGGGAAACCUCAUCUUCAGAUCCAGAGGAGGGCUCUGGUUGCUCUAAACCACUUGGAAUAAUCCCAUUUCCCAGUCAUAGUGAUUGAUGCAGAUAGAAAGACACGGCAUGUGGAAGACACUGUGCAUGAGGUGAAUGAGGAGUUCUUCCAGCUCUCUUCUCCAGUCCUGGAGCUCCAGAAAGAGGAGGAUGAGCCAGACCCACUGCCCCCAGGUGAAGGCAGCACAUUUGUGGUGGCUCCCAGCAUCUCCCCUUGUGAGUGGCAGGAAGAUAAACUUCACCCACUGGAGACAAGUGGCCCAGACGGAGAGAAGCUGGGACCCUGGGCCCUGAAGAGCCACCGGGCCCUGGAGCUGGAGGUGAGGAGAGUCCACCUGGCUCAGAGGAUUGAAGACCUGGAGUGGAAGCUGUCCUUGCUCCUUCAGGUGGCCACCAGCAGUUUGAGCAUGGGAGGGAGCUGGCUCAGCUGACAUAGCAGCCUAAGGGGCACUGAGUCACAUCAGAUGCUGCAUGGUGGCCACCUCCAGGAGGUGCCUUCUCACCGAGAACAUGAACGGGCUCCCCUGGUAGGAAGGAGUGGGCAUCUGGGGCCCGGAGUGUGUGCUGGUUUCAUGACGUGCUCCUACAGGGAAACACCUGGAUUUCUUUCAGAGCCUGGACCUCAGCUUGUGCUCAAUUCUGCCUUGAACUUUCUGGGGUGAGGGGAAAUAAACUGACAUGGGUUGACAAAA